GAAAUGCGAUAAGUCAUGUGAAUUGCAGAAUUCAGUGAAUCAUCGAAUCUUUGAACGCACAUUGCGCCCGCCAGCACUCUGGCGGGCCUGCCUGUUCGAGCGUCAUUUCAACCAUCAAGCCCCCGGGCUUGCGUUGGGGACCUGAAGCUGCCCGCAGGCCCUGAAAACCAGUGGCGGGCUCGCUGUCACCCCGGUCGUAGUAGUAUCAUCUCGUCCAGGGCGUUGCUGCGGGCUCCGGCCGUUAAACCUUCUCAUCCCCUAAGGUUGACCUAGGAUCAGGUAAGAAUACCCGCUGAACUUAA
rnacentral:misc_RNA from 1 species